GACGAACGCUGGCGGCGUGCUUAACACAUGCAAGUCGAACGGAAAGGCCCUGCUUUUGUGGGGUGCUCGAGUGGCGAACGGGUGAGUAACACGUGAGUAACCUGCCCUUGACUUUGGGAUAACUUCAGGAAACUGGGGCUAAUACCGGAUAGGAGCUCCUGCUGCAUGGUGGGGGUUGGAAAGUUUCGGCGGUUGGGGAUGGACUCGCGGCUUAUCAGCUUGUUGGUGGGGUAGUGGCUUACCAAGGCUUUGACGGGUAGCCGGCCUGAGAGGGUGACCGGCCACAUUGGGACUGAGAUACGGCCCAGACUCCUACGGGAGGCAGCAGUGGGGAAUAUUGCACAAUGGGCGGAAGGCUGAUGCAGCAACGCCGCGUGCGGGAUGACGGCCUUCGGGUUGGAAACCGCUUUCGCCUGUGACGAAGCGUGAGUGACGGUAAUGGGUAAAGAAGCACCGGCUAACUACGUG
rnacentral:rRNA from 1 species